rnacentral:tRNA from 2 species
AUUUCGGUAGCUCAGCUGGAUAGAGCAUCCGCCUCCUAAGCGGAAGGUCGUGGGUCCGAAUCCCAUCCGGAAUACCA